GGCGAGGACGCGUAGACGCUCUAUCAGACUUCCGGACCAUAGAUGCAGCGAUGCUCUGCGCCUGCGUGCGGUCGGAGCUGAGCACAUGCGCAGACCGAGAAGGCGGCUGGGCUCCCGACCGCGGGAGGCCAGCUGGCGAAUGGGGCUUUGCCACAUCGGCGCGAGAACCCAGCUUCCGGCUGGCCAUCUUGGGCGUAGAGCUCUUGCCCGAGGCUUUGCCGUAACUGUGAAAGACGUUAUGUUCCUACAGUUGAAAGAAGUACUCUCAAGUGGGGGUUCACGGCGGCCACGUGCGUGUUCCCGGGCAUCGCGGAGCCUGGGACAAGCCCUCUCCGCCUUCCCCAGCGCCCCAGAGCUCGGCAGGGACGCGCCCGGCUGGAGGCUCAGCCUGCAUUCCUUUGUCGACCGGGAGGCCGAGGGGGAAGCCCGCCCCUGUCCCAGCCCCCCCAAAGAGUCUUGAACCCACUUGUCCGUGAGCAGUACCCAUGUUCCCCUUCUCUGAAGACCCAGGGCGGGGCGGGAGAGCAGCGCCAACCCCAGGUGGUCUGCGCCUUCCCGCGAGAAAGGCCAAGGAAAAGACGCCACCGAGGUCCAGGGCUCAGGAGACCCCACCCGAGCACCGUUGGGCCUACCCUGUCCCUUGCAAGAAAUGAGACGUUGUUCUCCACAGGGUGCCUUGAAGAAGGGGAAAGUAAGCUGGUGAUCCCCCUCAGAUGGCAAAGGAACACUGUCAGUCCUGGGCUGCGCCCCAGUCCUGGCCUCUGAGAGCUGCCUUGACCGGUACUCCUGGGAGAUUCCACACUCCCAGGGCCCAGAAUCUGAUAAAGCAAGGAUCCUUCCCCCACCAACCCAAGGAUAGUAUCCAGAGAAGUGUGCAGAACUAAUGUUCCUACCACCAGGGAUCUGAACGUCUGCCAGAGGGGCCCAGCCUUCUAGAGGUGAGGACCGCAGGAAGACUGGUCCAAGGCCCGGGGAUAUUCACUGGGACUCACCUCCGAUGCCUUCAGGACAAGCUGAUGUGUGAUACCAUUGCCCAGGAAGCUCCCUGGGAGCCAGAUGGAGAGUGUAGUCUGCAAAAGGGCUUCCCUGAGAGUUCGGUUGGUAAAGAAUCCACCUGCAAUGCAGGAGACCUCGGUUUGAUUCCUGGGUUGGGAAGAUGCGCAGGAAAAGGGAUAGGCUACCCACUCCAGUAUUCUUGG